rnacentral:rRNA from 1 species
UGGGGAAUUUUGGACAAUGGGCGCAAGCCUGAUCCAGCCAUGCCGCGUGAGUGAAGAAGGCCUUCGGGUUGUAAAGCUCUUUCAGUUGGGAAGAAACGAUUGCAACUAAUAAUUGUAAUUAAUGACGGUACCGACAGAAGAAGCACCGGCUAACUACGUGCCAGCAGCCGCGGUAAUACGUAGGGUGCGAGCGUUAAUCGGAAUUACUGGGCGUAAAGGGUGCGCAGGCGGUUUUGUAAGUCAGAUGUGAAAUCCCCGGGCUUAACCUGGGAAUGGCGUUUGAAACUGCAAGGCUAGAGUGUAGCAGAGGGGAUGGAAUUCCGCGUGUAGCAGUGAAUAGCGUAGAUAUGCGGAGGAACGACCGAUGGCGAAGGCGAGCGUCCCUGGGCGUAACACGUGACG